GGGUUGGUGGUGUAGUAGAAACGCGUGCCGUGGCUACAGUCGCAUCCACGGUAAGUCCCAGGUUCAAUUUCUGGCCAAUCUA